GGCGAGAUGGCCGAGUUGGUUAUGGCGCCAGGUUAAGGAAUAUAUCCUUAACAACAUAUCCUGGUAGGGAAACCUGCGUGGGUUCAAGUCCCACUCUCGUCA